rnacentral:rRNA from 1 species
CGAGGAAUAUUGCGCAAUGGGCGAAAGCCUGACGCAGUAACGCCGCGUGGGGGAAGAAGACCUUCGGGUUGUAAACCUCUUUUUGUAGAGACGAGAGAGGACGGUAUCUAUAGAAUAAGUCUCGGCUAACUACGUGCCAGCAGCCGCGGUAAGACGUAGGAGGCGAGCGUUAUCCGGAAUCACUGGGCGUAAAGGGCAUGUAGGCGGUUGCGCAAGUCGUGUGUUAAAGCCCCUGGCUCAACUAGGGGAGGUCAUGCGAGACUGUGCGGCUAGAGGGCAGGAGAGGCACGUGGAACUCCCGGUGUAGCGGUGGAAUGCGUAGAGAUCGGGAAGAACAUCAGUGGCGAAGGCGACGUGCUGGGCUGCACCUGACGCUGAGAUGCGAAAGUGUGGGGAGCAAACGGGAUUAGAAACCCGAGUAG